GCCUGGGUGGCUCAGUCAGUUGAGUGUCUGACUUCAGGUCAUGGUCUCACACUUCAUGGGUUCGAGCCCCAUGUCGGGCU
rnacentral:tRNA from 1 species